AUGCUCCUGGACGAGAGCUGUGCAGAGGCCCAGGAUGGAGAGCUGGACGGGCUAUGGACCACCAUCUCCAUCUUCAUCACCCUCUUCCUGCUCAGCGUGUGCUACAGUGCCACGGUCACCCUUUUCAAGGAUAACCAGGUAGACAGCAGGUUCUGCCCCCAGUCUGAGCUGAUGGACACCUGCUGGCUUCUGCAUGGCAGUCCCCAGGACAUCGCCAGGGGCCAUGUGGACACCAAGAGCAUCAGUGUGGGGUAUUCCCAUCCCAGGAUGGCUCUGCCUGGGGUCAGCACCCAAGUCUACCUGGAGGAGGUGGGGGCCCUGUAUUCCUGGAGCCCAUUGGUUUCCAGGCAGCAUCCGUCCAUCUUCCCGUUAGUCCCCUGCCACAGCAGCAUCAGCAUGGGGGACACCUCUGUGACGCUCGGCUGCCUGAUCAAGGACUACAUCCCAGAGCCUGUGAAUGUGACCUGGGAUGCAGGGUCCCUGGAACAUAGUGUCAUGACCCUUCCUGGCACCUUAGACUCGACCACAGGCCUCUAUACCACCAUCAGCCAGACAACCACCUCAGGCGAGUGGGCCACACAGAAGUUCAUCUGCAGUGUGGAGCAUGACGGCGCUGCUGUGGAAAAGACCAUAAGUGUUAGGAAAGUGUGUGCCACCAACGUCACGCAGCCCACUGUGAAGCUGUACCACUCUUCCUGCAACCCCAGUGGCAAUACCCAGGCCACCAUCCAGCUUCUGUGCCUCAUCUCCGACUUCACUCCAGGUGACAUCAAGGUCACCUGGCUGGUGGAUGGACACAUGGACAAGAGCAUGUUCCCAUACACCAGCACCCCAAAACAGGAGGGCAACCUGUCCUCCAUCUUCAGCCAGCUAAACAUCACCCAGGGUGAAUGGGUAUCUCAAAAAACCUACACCUGCCAGGUCUACUAUCAAGGCUGCAAAUUUGAGAAGCAUGCCCGCAACUGCCCAGAAUCUGAGCCCCGAGGUGUGAGCGUCUACCUGAUCCCGCCCAGCCCCCUUGACCUGUACCUUCACAAGUCACCCAAGAUCACCUGCCUGGUGGUGGACCUGGCCAGCAUCGACAGUGUGACCCUGCAGUGGUUCCGGGAGAGCAGGGGCCUCGUGAAAGACACCAUGUGGAACAGCAAGCUCCAAUUCAACAUGACCUACACCGUCACGUCCACCCUGCCAGUGGAGGCCAAUGACUGGAUUGAGGGCGAGACCUAUGAGUGUAGACUGACCCACCCGCACCUGCCCAGGGAAAUUGUGCGCACCAUCUCCAAGGGCAAUGGCAAGCGUGUUGUCCCUGAGGUCUAUGUGUUCCUGCCACCUGAGGAGGAGCAGGGGACCAAGGACACGCUCACCCUCACCUGCCUGAUCCAGAACUUCUUCCCUGCGGAUAUCUCUGUGCAGUGGCUGUGCAACAACUCCCUGAUUCCAACCAACCAGCAAGCCACCACAUGGCCCCUCAAGGUCAACAGCUCCAGCCGCACCUUCUUUAUCUUCAGCCGCCUGGAGGUCAGCCGGGCAGACUGGGAGAAGAGGAGCCAGUUUACAUGCCAAGUGGUCCACGAGGCUCUGUCAGGCUCCAGGACCCUGGAGAAAUCAGUGUCCAGAGGCCCUGGUAAUUGAUGCCAAUUCCUCCUGCCCCUCCCAAGGCUCCAUCCAUCCUGCUGGGACUGGGAGGAUGCUGGCCAGCUCUUCUGCUCAGUGUUGUCAAUAAACACUC